rnacentral:lncRNA from 1 species
GGGGCCACCCAGGCAACCGAUAUACACAGAGAACCACGUGGAGGAAAAGCACGCGAGUUUGGAGCGGGUGGAGCAGGAACAGAGGUGGACUGGAAUGUCACACGACGGGGCAGCUGGAAGGGCACCACUGAGUUCAGUACUUCAAAAUUGCCGUGCUCUACCUCUCCCCAGUGCACAAAAACACUCUCCACACCAAGCUGCUGCUGCUGGGGGAUGGAGGGAUGGCGUCAGCGAUUCAAGACUGUUUUUCCUACCUGUUCAGCACUUCUUUCAGCGAUAUGAAGUUAAAUCCAGUUUUCCACGUGAGGAUUUGCCUCACCACAGCUGGCCACUGGAGCUGCAGCAUCUGACACACUGAAUAACUCACCUUUCAGGUGCACGCGAAGGCCUCAACCAUCUGGAGAACACCUGCUGCAACAGAGUCACACAGGCUAGAGUGCAGUGGCAUGAUCUCAGCUCCCCACAACCUCUGCCUCCGAUGUUCAAGCGAUUCUCCUGUCUCAGCCUCCUGAGUAGCUGGAAUUACAGGUGCCCACCACCACGCGCGGCUAAUAUUUGUGUUUUUAGUAGAAAUGGGGUUUCACCAUGUUGGCCAGGCCAGCCUCGAACUCCUGACCUCGGGUGAUCAGCCUGCCUUGGCCUCCCAAAGUGCUGGCGUUACAGGCAUGAUCAUGGCUCAUUUCUUUUUAGCACUGAAUGAUAUUCCAUUGUCAGGAUGUACCACAGUUUGUUUAUCCAUUCACCUACUGAAGGACAUUUUGGUUGCUUCUAAGUUUUACCAGUUAUGAAUGAAGCUGCUAUAAACAUCUGUGUACAGAUUUUUUUGUGGACAUAAGUUUUCACCUCCUUUGGGUAAAUACCAAAGAGUGGGCUUGCUGGAUUUUACGAUAAGAGUAUGUUUAAUUUGUAAGAAACCACCUAACUGUCUUCCACAGUGACUGUUCUAUUUUUGCCUCCCCACCAGCAAUGAAUGAGAGCUCUCAUUACUCCCUGCUUUCACCAGCAUUUUGUGGUGUCCGUGUUUUGGAUUUGGUCAUUCUAAUAGGUGUGUAAUGAUAUGUCAUUAUUGUUUUAAUUUGCAACUUCCUCAUGACAUCUGAUGCUAAGCAUCUUUCAAUAUGCUUAUUUGCCAUCUGUGUAUCUUCUUUGCUGAGGUGUCUAGAUCUUUUGCCUAUUUUUUAAUCGGGUUGUUUUCUUAUUGUUGUGUUUUUUUGGAAUUCUUUGUAUAUUUUGGAUAGUAGUCCUUUAUCAGAUAUGUCUUUUGCAAAUAUUUUCUCCCAGUCUGUGUCUUGUCUUCUCAUUCUCUUGACAGUGUCUUUUGCAGAGCAGUUUUUUUUUUUUCCUUUCUGGAGAUGGGGGUCUCCCUAUAUCUCCCAGGCUGGUCUCAAACUUCUGGGCUCAAGCGAGCCUCCUACCUCUCUGGAGUAACUGGGACAAUGGAUGUGUCCUACUUCCAGCUUAGAAGUUUUUAAAUAUAUAUAUUUUUUGAGAUGGAGUCUCACUCUGUCACCCAGGCUGGAGUACAGUGGUGUGAUCUCGGCUCACUGCAACCUGUGCCUCCUGGGUUCAAAUGAUUCUUGUGCCUCAGCCUCCUGAAUAAGUGGGAUUACAGGCAUGCAUCACUAUGCUCGGCUAAUUUUUGUAUUUUUAGUAGAGAUGAGGUUUCACCAGGCUGGUCUCGAACUCCUGACCUCAAGGGAUCCACCCACCUAGGCCUCCCAAAGUGCUGGGAUUACAGGCAUCAGCCACUGUGCCCAGCCUAGAAGUUUUCAGUGUUAAUGUACCCCUGAUUAUUAAUUAUUUCUUUCAUGGGUUGUGGCUUUGGUGUUAUAUCUAUAAAGUCAUCACCAAAUUCAAGGUCAUCUAAAUUUUCUCCUAUGUUAUCUUCUAGGAGUUUUAUAGUUUCUGUGAUCCAUUUUGAGUUAAUUUUCAUGAAGGCUAUUUUUGUGAAUGUGUCUAGAUUUUUUUUUUUUGGCAUGGGAGUGUCCAGUUGUUCUAGCACUAUUUGUUGAAAAGGCUAAAUUGUCUCCAUUAUAUUGCCUUUCCUCCUUUAUCAACAAUCAGUUAACUACAUUUAUGUGGGUCUAUGUCCUGCUCACUAUUCUAUUCUGUUGAUCUAGUUACCUCUUCUUUUACCAAUACCACACUGUCUUAAUUACUGUAGGUUUAUAGUAAGUUUCGAGGUAAGAUUGUGUCAGUUCUCUGAUUUUGUUUUUCUCCUUCAAUAUCAUGUUGGCUAUUCUGGGUCUUUUGCCUCUCCAUAUAAACUCUAGAAUCAGUUUGUCAAUCUCCACAAAAUAACUUACUUGGAUUUUAACUGGGUUGCAGUGAACUAUAGAUCAAGUUGGGAAGAAUGGACCACUUGAAAAUAUUGAGUUUUCCUAUUCAUGAACAUGGAAUAUAUCUCCAUUUAUUUAGCUUUCUGAUUUCUUUCAUCAGAGUUUUAUAAUUCUUAUCAUAUAUAUCAUAUAUAGAGAAAGAUUUAUAUCUAAGU